CACGUAGGGUGCGAGCGUUGUCCGGAAUUAUUGGGCGUAAAGAGCUCGUAGGCGGUGUGUCGCGUCGGCCGUGAAAACCUGCAGCUUAACUGUGGGCUUGCGGUCGAUACGGGCAUCACUGGAGUUCGGCAGGGGAGACUGGAAUUCCUGGUGUAGCGGUGAAAUGCGCAGAUAUCAGGAGGAACACCGGUGGCGAAGGCGGGUCUCUGGGCCGAUGACUGACGCUGACGGAGCGAAAGCGUGGGGAGCGAACAGGAUU
rnacentral:rRNA from 1 species